UAACAUAGGUCAAUUAUAUUAACCAGGGUAAUUCAUCUGCAGCAAGUGCAAUUAAGAAAGCCUUUCAUUAAAACUUAACCUGGUCAUCUGCACAACAAUGAUCAUCAGUCACGAAAAUGAACUGCAGGAGUCAUCACAAUAUUAUGAAAGGCUGUCCACACCAAGCAUCUGUCAUGCACUAAGCAGCCAUGAGAAGCUCUGACCACGUUCCUGCCCACCCCCCACCUAUAACAACAAAAAGAUGGGAAUGUCAGGCCUGGCCUGAAUGAGACCCUUGCACAGUAAACAGG
rnacentral:lncRNA from 1 species